rnacentral:sRNA from 1 species
GCUGGGUGUGGUGGCACAUGCCUGUGAUUCCAGCAACUCCGGAGGCUGAGGCAGGAGGACUGCAAGUUCUAGGCCAGCCUUAGCAAUUUAGUAAGACCCUGUCUCAA